rnacentral:rRNA from 1 species
CAUCAUGCAGAGACAUAGUCUAAGGAAACUUAGAGUAAUACCUCAUAAUACAAGUAAACUAUUAGUAAACUUGUCAAAGUUUUAACGGCAUGAAAUGGGCAUAUGACUGAUUAGCUAGUUGGAGAGGUAACUGCUCACCAAGGCAAUGAUCAGUAGGGGGCCUGAGAGGGCGUACCCCCACAUUGGUACUGAGACAAGGACCAAACUUCUACGGGAGGCAGCAGUGAGGAAUAUUGGUCAAUGGAGGAAACUCUGAACCAGUUACGCCGCGUGCAGGAUGAAGGCCAGAAAGGUUGUAAACUGCUUUUGUAUAUGAAUAAAAAAUUUGAAGGUAAUAUACGAAUAAGUAUCGGCUAACUUCGUGCCAGCAGCAGCGGUAAAACGAAGGAUACAAGCGUUAUCCGGAAUUAUUGGGUUUAAAGGGUGCGUAGGUUGUUUUUUAAGUCAGUAGUGAAAGCUAACAGCUUAACUGUCAAACUGCUAUUGAUACUGUCAAACUAGAGUUAGAUAGGAGUAACUGGAAUGUGUGGUGUAGCGGUGAAAUGCAUAGAUAUCACACAGAACACCGAUAGCGAAAGCAGGUUACUAUAUCUAAACUGACACUGAGGCACGAAGGCGUGGGUAGCAAACAGGAUUAGAUACCCUGGUAGUCCACGCAGUAAACGAUGAUCACUAACUGUUGGAUUCAGUGGUUAAGCGAAAGUGAUAAGUGAUCCACCUGA